rnacentral:hammerhead_ribozyme from 1 species
AUCCAACUGACGAGUUCCAAAUAGGACGAAAUGCGCAUCCUGGAU